GUUACAUGCACGAUUAAUUACUUAUUUCGAAAGAUUCCCUUUUAAAUAAAUUUCAACACGACAUGCUUGCUUUACAAUAAAAUAAAUAUUGAAUUUCGUUUGACGGAAAAUGUUCAGAUACGGGUCUCUUGUGUAGAGUUGUCUCAUUGGCAAUCAUACCACAUCUUUUUUUUUUUUAAUAUAACGUUGCUUUUUAUAAAGCUGUCGUUGGAAAACUGGGUCCUAUACAAAGAGAAAACGAGGUCCUUCCAUUUUGACGUAGUCCAUUUUUUCGUUCCAUUCAAAUAUAUACAAACAUUGAGACGCUAUAAAUGACUAGUUUUGCAAUUUCAAUGUUGAUAUCUUCUUUUCAUACAUUUCUUUCUGUACAAUGU
rnacentral:lncRNA from 1 species